AUUGAACGCUGGCGGAAUGCUUUACACAUGCAAGUCGAACGGCAGCACGGACUUCGGUCUGGUGGCGAGUGGCGAACGGGUGAGUAAUGUAUCGGAACGUGCCCAGUCGUGGGGGAUAACGUAGUGAAAAUUACGCUAAUACCGCAUACGACCUAUGGAUGAAAGCGGGGGAUCGCAAGACCUCGCGCGAUUGGAGCGGCCGAUAUCAGAUUAGGUAGUUGGUGGGGUAAAGGCCCACCAAGCCAACGAUCUGUAGCUGGUCUGAGAGGACGACCAGCCACACUGGAACUGAGACACGGUCCAGGCUCCUACGGGAGGCAGCAGUGGGGAAUUUCGGACAAUGGGCGAAAGCCUGAUCCAGCCAUUCCGCGUGCAGGAUGAAGGCCCUCGGGUUGUAAACUGCUUUUGUACAGAACGAAAAGGUUUCUACUAAUACUAGGAGCUCAUGACGGUACUGUAAGAAUAAGCACCGGCUAACUACGUGCCAGCCGCCGCUGUAA
rnacentral:rRNA from 1 species